rnacentral:rRNA from 1 species
UACGGAGGGUGCAAGCGUUAAUCGGAAUUACUGGGCGUAAAGCGCACGUAGGCGGAUAUUUAAGUCAGGGGUGAAAUCCCGGGGCUCAACCCCGGAACGGCCUCUGAUACUGGGUAUCUUGAGUUCGGAAGAGGUAAGUGGAAUUGCGAGUGUAGAGGUGAAAUUCGUAGAUAUUCGCAGGAACACCAGUGGCGAAGGCGGCUUACUGGUCCGAUACUGACGCUGAGGUGCGAAAGCGUGGGGAGCAAACAGG